CCAUAUGUAUUGAUCAACCACCGAGAGGAGCUUCUUCCUCUUAUAAUGUGCGCAAUUGAGCGCCAUCCAGAUAGCAGUACACGGGAUUCCUUGACCCAUACAUUAUUCAACUUAAUCAAGCGUCCCGAUGAAGAACAGAGACGGAUUAUAAUGGAUGCUUGUGUCACUCUUGCCAGAAAUGUUGGAGAGAUGAGAACGGAAACUGAAUUACUUCCUCAGUGUUGGGAACAAAUCAAUCACAUGUAUGAGGAGCGCCGCUUGCUAGUUGCUCAAUCUUGUGGGGAACUUGCUGAAUUCGUGCGUCCUGAGAUUCGAGAUUCUCUUAUCUUGUCUAUUGUGCAACAGCUCAUUGAGGAUUCUGCUACAGUUGUUCGGGAGGCUUCUGCUCAUAACUUGGCGUUGCUUCUGCCUCUCUUCCCAAGUAGGGACAAAUAUUUCAAGGUUGAGG
rnacentral:misc_RNA from 1 species